rnacentral:lncRNA from 1 species
AAGGUUGUCGCACCGCCAAUUUUUUACGUAAAAACGAACUCAACUCAAAUUUACGUCAAUUGUUCGCUUAUCAGAGCUCUUAUAAUAGUAGAAUUUUAUGAUUUUUUAAAAUGUUAUUUUUCUUAAUUUUUCAAAAAUCUAAAAUACAUCAAUUUUCAAUAAGUUGUUAAAAGCACCGUCGAUUUUGCGGAGUCUUACAAGAAUGUCGCACUGGCUUAAAAACAACGUUUCAGUCAAAGUUUUGGUUUGAACGUUACGAA